AGCUAAAGAACUCAUGCUUUCUCAUUCCACAAUAUCUCUAUUAAUAUCUCAGCCAUGAGAAUCCUGUGCUUCAUGUUUGCUCUCUUUAUCUUCCUGACCCAAAUUUCUACAGUCAGGAGCAGAUUUACCCAUGUGUGUUGGAAGCCUAAGGGAUUCUGUCGGGUGCGUUGUCUUGAAAAUGAAAUCAUGAUAUCCAGGUGCUUCGGGGAAAAACUGUGCUGUGAGAAAAACACAAAAAAGAGGACAUAGAGUCAUCCACAACCUUUCUGAUCAACGGUUUGAAUCUUUGUUGAGUCCUUUGUUGAAUGGCAAACUUUAAAAUAAAUUCCCACAUAAUGA